AUUACGUAAGUAAGUAAGAUCCCUGAGAGAAGAUCAGGUAGAUAGGAUGGAAGUGGAAGUACAGUGAUGUAUGGAGCGGACCAUUACUAAUCGAUCGAGGACUUAACCGA
rnacentral:ncRNA from 1 species